rnacentral:rRNA from 1 species
GACGAACGCUGGCGGCGUGCUUAACACAUGCAAGUCGAACGAUGAACCCGGAGCUUGCUCCGGUGGAUUAGUGGCGAACGGGUGAGUAACACGUGAGUAACCUGCCCUUGACUCUGGGAUAACUGCGGGAAACUGUAGCUAAUACCGGAUACGACCCUCGGCGGCAUCGCCAGGGGGUGGAAAGAAUUUCGGUCAAGGAUGGACUGGCGGCCUAUCAGCUAGUUGGUGAGGUAACGGCUCACAAAGGCGACGACGGGUAGCCGGCCUGAGAGGGUGACCGGCCACACUGGGACUGAGACACGGCCCAGACUCCUACGGGAGGCAGCAGUGGGGAAUAUUGCACAAUGGGCGCAAGCCUGAUGCAGCAACGCCGCGUGAGGGAUGACGGCCUUCGGGUUGUAAACCUCUUUCAGCACCGACGAAGCGCAAGUGACGGUAGGUGCAGAAGAAGGACCGGCCAACUACGUGCCAGCAGCCGCCGUAA